CACUCACACAGCUACCACUACUACUACUUCCGCUUGAUUCGCGCGCACAAGGAUUCCAUGGCGACCGCGACGGAGGCGCCGGCGGUGGUGGAGGAGGUGAAGGAGGCGGUGGUGGAGGCACCCAAGGCGGAGGAGGCGCCCAAGGGUGAGGAGGUGGUGGAGGGGAAGAAAGCCGAGGAGGGGGAGGAGAAGGCGAAGAAGGAGAGGAAGCCGAGGGUGAGGAAGCCCAGGUCGGCGGGGCCGCACCACCCGCCCUACUUCGAGAUGAUCAAGGAGGCGAUCAUGUCGCUGGACGGGAACGGGAAGGCGGGGUCGAGCCCGUACGCGAUCGCCAAGUACAUGGGCGAGCAGCACAAGGACGAGCUGCCGGCGAACUACCGCAAGGUGCUCGCCGUGCAGCUGCGGAACUUCGCCGCCAAGGGCCGGCUCGUGAAGGUGAAGGCCUCGUUCAAGCUGUCGGCGGCCGAGGAGAAGAAGGCGGCGGCGGCGAAGGCGAAGGCCAAGUCCGCGAAGUCCGGCGGCAGCGCCAAGAGGAAGAGGACCCCGCGACCCUCCGCCGCCGCCGCCGCCAAGAAGCCGGCGUCGGCGUCGGCCAAGGAGGCGAAGAAGGCGGUUCCCCCCGCCCGGCCGGCACGCGCCAAGCGGGCGAGGAAGGCCGCCCCCGCGAAGCCGAUGACGCAGCCACCCAAAUCCAUCCGCUCCGCCAUCUCCAAGAAGGCCAACAAGGCCAGCGCCUGAUGAUCGCGGAGGCUGCCGUCUCGCCGGCGCCGGCGCACCGUAUCCGUGUAUAGCCUAGGUGUCGCUUACCAAUAGUAGAAGUCGUCGUCUUCGUCUUCCGUCUCCGCAGCUUGGAUCGAUCGAGCGCCCUGUGGCCCGCAGCGUGUUGCGUUUUGUAGAUAAACUUGCUUUUUUUUUUUUUUUUUGCUUUUGGGAGGGAAGAAGAUGCAAGGUACUGUAGCAUAUCGCCAUGAAACCGUAAUAAGAUGGAACUGGCGCUCGAAGCUUUGCCAUGUGAUCA